rnacentral:rRNA from 1 species
GACGAACGCUGGCGGCGUGCUUAACACAUGCAAGUCGAACGAAGAGCGAUGGAAGCUUGCUUCUAUCAAUCUUAGUGGCGAACGGGUGAGUAACGCGUAAUCAACCUGCCCUUCAGAGGGGGAUAACAGUUGGAAACGACUGCUAAUACCGCAUACGAUCUAAUCUCGGCAUCGAGGAUAGAUGAAAGGUGGCCUCUACAUGUAAGCUAUCACUGAAGGAGGGGAUUGCGUCUGAUUAGCUAGUUGGAGGGGUAACGGCCCACCAAGGCGAUGAUCAGUAGCCGGUCUGAGAGGAUGAACGGCCACAUUGGGACUGAGACACGGCCCAGACUCCUACGGGAGGCAGCAGUGGGGAAUCUUCCGCAAUGGACGAAAGUCUGACGGAGCAAUGCCGCGUGAGUGAUGACGGCCUUCGGGUUGUAAAGCUCUGUUAAUCGGGACGAAAGGCCUUCUUGCGAAUAGUGAGAAGGAUUGACG